rfam:Vibrio splendidus LGP32 chromosome 1
GCACUCUCACUCUUUGUUUAUUUUUGACUUCUUUUUUCUUCCGUAAAUCGGAGGCUAAGUCGUUUUAGAAAAACAAGUCAAAAACGAACAAGAAGCCUCCCACACUAGGGGGGCUUUUUUAU